rnacentral:rRNA from 1 species
GAUGAACGCUGGCGGCGUGCUUAACACAUGCAAGUCGAACGGGAUCCAAGGGGCGUUUUUCGUUUUUUGGUGAGAGUGGCGAACGGGUGAGUAACACGUGAGUAACCUGUCCUUUUCUUUGGGAUAAGCUCCUGAAAGGGUGUUUAAUACCUUAUGUUCUGUCUGCCUCGCAUGGGGUGGGUGGGAAAGAUUUUUUCGGUGAAGGGUGGGCUCGCGGUCUAUCAGCUUGUUGGUGGGGUGAUGGCUUACCAAGGCUUUGACGGGUAGCCGGCCUGAGAGGGUGGUCGGUCACAUUGGGACUGAGAUACGGCCCAGACUCCUGCGGGAGGCAGCAGUGGGGGAUAUUGCACAAUGGGCGCAAGCCUGAUGCAGCGACGCCGCGUGGGGGAUGAAGGCCUUCGGGUUGUAAACUUCUUUUGCUCUGAACAAGGCGCAUCUUUGGGGUGUGUUGAGUGUAGGGGUUGAUUAGCGCCGGCUAACUACGUG